rnacentral:rRNA from 1 species
AGAGAGAGACAUGCGCGCAUAUCAAUAAGCGGAGGAAAAGAAACUAACAAGGAUUCCCCUAGUAACGGCGAGUGAAGCGGGAAGAGCUCAAAUUUGAAAUCUUAAAGGGUUUCCCUUUACGAAUUGUAGUUUAAAGAAGUGUUUUCUGUUGAGGUUUUGGUAAAAGUUCUUUGGAAUAGGACAUCAUAGAGGGUGAGAAUCCCGUAUUUGACCUUUACUUUCAACUUUGUGAUACACUUUCAAAGAGUCGGAUUGUUUGGGAAUGCAGUCCAAAAUGGGUGGUAAAUUUCAUCUAAAGCUAAAUAUUGGCGAGAGACCGAUAGCGAACAAGUACCGUGAGGGAAAGAUGAAAAGAACUUUGAAAAGAGAGUUAAACAGUACGUGAAAUUGUCAAAAGGGAAGCGUUUGACACCAGUGUUGUUUUUCUGAAAAUCAAUUAAAGAACUGUUUAUGCUAAGCUGUUUAGACUUUAUCAGCUAUCUGUUUAGUUUUGAGCUUUUCUUUAGUGCACUUUUCAGUUAACAAGUCAACAUCAAUUUCUUUUGCUGUAAAAAAGCUUGAGGAAGGUGGCUUGAGAUUCGUCUUAAGUGUUUAUAGCCUCUUGCCUAUGCAGUCGGAGAGAUUGAGGUCUGCAGCGUAGAUCCUUCGGGGCUAAAUGCAUUUGUGCUAAGUUAUAGCAUUUUAUAGACAACUUGUUGACUAUGAUUUGUCUUGUAGCUUACUCGCUUAUGUUAUUUUACCUACGCUUAGGAUGUUGACGCAUGAGAUAUACGC